rnacentral:rRNA from 1 species
UACAGAGGUGGCAAGCGUUGUUCGGAAUUACUGGGCGUAAAGCGUGCGCAGGCGGUUGUGCAAGACCGAUGUGAAAGCCCCGGGCUUAACCUGGGAAUGGCAUUGGUGACUGCACAGCUAGAGUGUGUCAGAGGGGGGUAGAAUUCCACGUGUAGCAGUGAAAUGCGUAGAGAUGUGGAGGAAUACCGAUGGCGAAGGCAGCCCCCUGGGAUAACACUGACGCUCAUGCACGAAAGCGUGGGGAGCAAACAGG